rnacentral:rRNA from 1 species
CAUAGCGACUAUCGUGGCAUAUCAAUAAGCGGAGGAAAAGAAACUAACAAGGAUUCCCUUAGUAACGGCGAGUGAAGCGGGAAGAGCUCAAAUUUGAAAUCUUCAAGGUUCUACCUUGACGAAUUGUAGUUUAUAGAAGUGUUUUCUGUUAGUAGGAGUGGCAAAAGUUCUUUGGAAUAGGACAUCAUAGAGGGUGAGAAUCCCGUAUUUGGUCAUUCCUCCUAGCGUUGUGAUACACUUUCAACGAGUCGGAUUGUUUGGGAAUGCAGUCCAAAAUGGGUGGUAAAUUUCAUCUAAAGCUAAAUAUUGGCGAGAGACCGAUAGCGAACAAGUACCGUGAGGGAAAGAUGAAAAGAACUUUGAAAAGAGAGUUAAACAGUACGUGAAAUUGUCAAAAGGGAAGCGUUUGACACCAGUGUUGUUUUUCCGAAAAUCAAUUACGAAUGUUUUGUUUUUGAGGAGUUAUGACUUCAUCGGCUUGCUCCUUUCUUUAUGAAACUUUCUUAAUGCACUUUUCGGUUAACAAGUCAACAUCAAUUUCUUUUGUUGUAAAAGGGUAUGAGGAAGGUGGCUUUCUUUUCGGAGAAAGUGUUUAUAGCCUUGUGCCUCUGCAAUCGGAGAGAUUGAGGUCUGCAGCGUAGAUCCUACGGGGUUAGAUACGUUUGUGCUAAGUUAUAGCUUUUCAUAGACAACUUGUUGACUAUGUUUAGUCUUGUAGCUUACUCGCUUAUGCUAUUUUACCUACGCUUAGGAUGUUGAUAUGCAUGACUGAUAU